UCUGUUCCCGUGAGUCCCUGUCCGUCAUUAUUUCGCUAGGACCUACGGACGACGACACACCGGCCACGCUAUAGGGAUCCUCGUCAGGAAUUGGAGAGUCUCCGAAAUUCAGGCCCAACUUUCUUAAGUUGACAUUUCGAGAAUUGGAAGGGUAAGGGUUCAGGACGUUGACGUAAGAAAAGGAUGCUUGGGGUCCUCUCAAUAGGCAGACGCGUCGACCCGCGCCAUUCGUCGCUAAACCACCGAGCAGUGAACAUACGAAAUGAGUUUAAGGUCUCCGAGAUCCUACAGUGUAUACGGUGCAACUUUUUCCAAGUUGAAACAUGGAGACGCGUGCGAAAACGCGCGACAGCAGGAACGUACAGAGAAUGACAAACUUUCAAAAAGAGUUUGAUUUUGCCCCCGGGAUAUGGGUUAAAAAACUCAAUUAGCGUGUCCACGAUGCGUUCCGAGAUGCGAAUUAAGCGCACCGCUCUUUGUUAUGCAGUCGCUGCACAGAGAAGAUGUAAACAUUUAAAAUGUAAUAUUUUUGUAUUUUUCAUUAAAAAAGUGAAGAAUAAAUAACUUACAUUGCAUAUCGAUUUUCGUAAGAAUUCGUUUUAUCUUUCUACCCGCAUUCAUAUUAUUAUAUAGUUUUUAAAUGUUUUUAUGUAUCUACUACGUGUUACUACACAUGUCAACGAACUAAUAAUAUACGGUAAAAGUUACGGUAA